ACACAGCUACAACCGCUCCGACUAAGUUUUUAAGAACCAUGGUCACUUAGGAAGGCGAGUCUAAGAUUUAAA
rfam:Catellicoccus marimammalium M35/04/3 contig00103, whole genome shotgun sequence.